GAUGAACGCUGGCGGCGUGCCUAAUACAUGCAAGUCGAGCGAACAGACGAGGAGCUUGCUCCUCUGACGUUAGCGGCGGACGGGUGAGUAACACGUGGAUAACCUACCUAUAAGACUGGGAUAACUUCGGGAAACCGGAGCUAAUACCGGAUAAUAUAUUGAACCGCAUGGUUCAAUAGUGAAAGACGGUUUUGCUGUCACUUAUAGAUGGAUCCGCGCCGCAUUAGCUAGUUGGUAAGGUAACGGCUUACCAAGGCAACGAUGCGUAGCCGACCUGAGAGGGUGAUCGACCACACUGGAACUGAUACAGGGUCCAGACUCCUACGGGAGGCAGCAGUAGAGAAUCUUCCGCGAUGGGCGAAAGCUUGACGGAGCAACGCCACGUGAGUGAUGAAGGUCUUCGGGUCGUAAGACUCUGUUAUUAGGGAAAAACAAAUGUGUAAGUAACUAUGCACGACUUGACGGUACCUAAUCAGAAAGCCACGGCUAACUACGUG
rnacentral:rRNA from 1 species